GCCAAUUCUGGGGGAUUGUCAUUUGUCAAUUCCUCUUAGCAUAAUGGCUUGGGUGCAAUAUUGCAAUGUGGCUAUCCUGAUCAAUUUUUCUUUCUAUCUGCACACCAUUAGGUCCCGAAAACAACACAGAAACAU